rnacentral:rRNA from 1 species
CAGUGGCGAACGGGUGAGUAACACGUGGGCAAUCUGCCCUGCACUCUGGGACAAGCCCUGGAAACGGGGUCUAAUACCGGAUAUGACCUUCCUCUGCAUGGGGGUUGGUGGAAAGCUCCGGCGGUGCAGGAUGAGCCCGCGGCCUAUCAGCUUGUUGGUGGGGUAAUGGCCUACCAAGGCGACGACGGGUAGCCGGCCUGAGAGGGCGACCGGCCACACUGGGACUGAGACACGGCCCAGACUCCUACGGGAGGCAGCAGUGGGGAAUAUUGCACAAUGGGCGCAAGCCUGAUGCAGCGACGCCGCGUGAGGGAUGACGGCCUUCGGGUUGUAAACCUCUUUCAGCAGGGAAGAAGCGCAAGUGACGGUACCUGCAGAAGAAGCACCGGCUAACUACGUGCCAGCAGCCGCGGUAAUACGUAGGGUGCGAGCGUUGUCCGGAAUUAUUGGGCGUAAAGAGCUCGUAGGCGGCCUGUCGCGUCGGAUGUGAAAGCCCGGGGCUUAACCCCGGGUCUGCAUUCGAUACGGGCAGGCUAGAGUGUGGUAGGGGA